UAGGGAAUAUUGGUCAAUGGGCGCAAGCCUGAUCCAGCCAUACCGCGUGGGUGAAGAAGGCCUUCGGGUUGUAAAGCCCUUUUGUUGGGAAAGAAAUCCUAUCGGUUAAUAACCGGUGGGGAUGACGGUACCCAAAGAAUAAGCACCGGCUAACUUCGUG
rnacentral:rRNA from 1 species